UCAGAAGAACACAGCAGCUCAGUCCUGUUACUACUAAAGUCUCCAGUGGAAAAAUGGUACCCAGAGCCAGGGAGCAUGAUGCUGUCCUCAAUUUACGUAGAAUCCCUGAUUGCUCCGGCCCUUGGAGCAGCUUCAGUGGUGCCCUGAUGCAGCAUCCUCAGCAUAGAAAUGGGUGGUCUCCCAGGAUACGCCAGCAUCCCUAGCACUAACAAGCCUCCUUCCGUUAGCUUUGUGGAUGGAGAACAUUACGGACAUGCUCUUUCUGCAUUCUAAGUGGUAAACUUUGCUAGGAAGGAAGGAACAACUCACACACCUGGCUCCAGAGAAAGUUGUGUCGACCUCAUUUCUGCAUCAAACACAUUUCUCUACAUCUCCCAGAGUCAGCUUUGGAGCAUUUCCUCUGAACGUGGCUGCUCAUGUCAGGCACCAAGCUUGGCUUCCCCAUAGCAGUUCAGAAACCCAAAUAUCUCCCAUGUUCGGGUUCUGCUGUCGUCAAGAUGUUUAUCAGCAUUAAGAAGGAAAAGGCAGGCAGGAUUCCACAUGCGAAGAUUCUGUGGGACAGAAAUGGAAGUGGUUCCUGGUACUUCUGCCCAUUUGCCAUCAGCUGAAUUCAGUAACUUGGCCACAGUUAACUCCAAGAAAGGCUUGGAAGCAGGCUCAAGUUGUGUGUCUAGGAAGAAGAUGAAACAUGUUUAAUGAACAGCUAGGCAAUCUCUGCCAUACAUUCCUUCUUUUCAUAAGACAUAGACCCAAAAAAUAAUCAGCUUUCACCAAUAAGGUUGAUCUGGUUUGGCUGUGUCCCCACCCAAAUCUCAUCUUGGGUUGUGGCUCCCAUAAUUCCCAUUUGUUGUGGGAGGGACCCGGUGGGAGAUAUGGGGGUGGUUUCCCUUAUACUGUUCUCAUGGUAGUGAAUAAGUCUCAUGAGAUCUGAUGGUUUUGUAAGAGAAAACCCCUUUCACUUGGCUCUCAUUCUUUCUUUGCCUGCAGCCAUGUAAGACGUGCCUUGGUUCUUCCCUCACCUUCCCCCAUGAUUGUGAGGUCUUCCCAGCCACGUGAAAUUGUGAG
rnacentral:lncRNA from 1 species